GAUGAACGCUAGCUACAGGCUUAACACAUGCAAGUCGAGGGGUAGCAGGGUAGCAAUACCGCUGACGACCGGCGCACGGGUGAGUAACACGUAUCCAACCUUCCCAUAACUCGGGGAUAGCCUUUCGAAAGAAAGAUUAAUACCGGAUGGUACUUUUUCAAGGCAUCUUGAGAAAGUUAAAGAUUUAUUGGUUAUGGAUGGGGAUGCGUUCCAUGAGAUAGUUGGUGAGAUAACGGCUCACCAAGUCUUCGAUGGAUAGGGGUUCUGAGAGGAAGGUUCCCCACAUUGGUAAUGAAACACGGACCAAACUCCUACAGGAGGCAGCAGUGAGGAAUAUUGGUCAAUCGGCGGGAGCCUGAACCAUCCAAGUAUCGUGAAGGAUGAAGGUCCUAUGGAUUGUAAACUUCUUUUAUAGUAGAAUAAAGUGAUCCACGUGUGGAUUUUUGUAUGUAUACUAUGAAUAAGGAUCGGCUAACUCCGUGCCAGCCGCCGCAGUAA
rnacentral:rRNA from 1 species